AGCAGCCGCGGUAAUUCCAGCUCCAAUAGCGUAUAUUAAAGUUGUUGCAGUUAAAAGCUCGUAGUUGAAUUUCGGGAUUGACACAUCGGUCGUGCCUUAAGGGGUAUGAACUGGUGUAGUCAAUUUCUCACCUUCUGGAGAACCGCGAUGCCCUUAAUUGGGUGUCGCGGGGAACCAGGACCUUUACUCUGAAAAAUUGAGUGUUUAAAGCAGGCAUUUUGCUUGAAUACAUUAGCAUGGAAUAAUAAAAUAGGACGGCAUGAUUCUAUUUUGUUGGUUUCUAGGAUCACCGUAAUGAUUAAUAGGGAUAGUUGGGGGCAUUAGUAUUCAAUUGUCAGAGGUGAAAUUCUUGGAUUUAUUGAAGACUAACUACUGCGAAAGCAUUUGCCAAGGAUGUUUCAUUAAUCAAGAACGAAAGUUAGGGAUCGAAGACGAUCAGAUACCGUCGUAGUCUUAACCAUAAACUAUAGCCGACUAGGAAUCAGACGAUGUUAAUUUUUAUGUACUUCGUUUGGCUAAC
rnacentral:misc_RNA from 1 species